rnacentral:rRNA from 1 species
GGGCCCGCACAAGCGGUGGAGCAUGUGGUUUAAUUCGACGCAACGCGCAGAACCUUACCAGGGUUUGACAUCCUGUGCUCACCGGAGAGAUCCGGUUUCCCCGCAAGGGGCGCAGAGACAGGUGCUGCAUGGCUGUCGUCAGCUCGUGUCGUGAGAUGUUGGGUUAAGUCCCGCAACGAGCGCAACCCUCGCCUUUAGUUGCCAUCAUUAAGUUGGGCACUCUAGAGGGACCGCCGGCGACAAGCCGGAGGAAGGUGGGGAUGACGUCAAGUCCUCAUGGCCCUUACACCCUGGGCUACACACGUGCUACAAUGGCGGUGACAAUGAGCAGCGACCACGCGAGUGGAUGCUAAUCUCAAAAAACCGUCCCAGUUCAGAUUGCACUCUGCAACUCGGGUGCAUGAAGGUGGAAUCGCUAGUAAUCGCAGAACAGCAGGCUGCGGUGAAUACGUUCCCGGGCCUU